rfam:Dipodomys ordii contig_68206, whole genome shotgun sequence.
UGGAAUGUGGCUUAGUGGUAGAGUGCUUGCCUAGCAUGCAUGAAAGCCUGGGUUCGAUUCCUCUGUACCAC